rnacentral:tRNA from 1 species
AUCUAAGUAGUUUAAUUGAAGAAUUUUGGUUUGUGGUGCCUGUGGUGUGAUUGUUAUUGCCUUAGGUU